rnacentral:lncRNA from 1 species
AUGCACCCUUCGUAUUGCGCCGCAUUUCAUGGGCAUUCGUUGGCAUGUUGGCUCGUGCACUUCCACCGCUGCUCCUCGUCCUCACUUGAGCUCAUGGGCUCUUUCGGGUCCACCAUGGGAGAGAAGGGCCUGGCGGUCAGUUGCGUGUCUUGUCUGUUCCUCCCGCAGCCCCUCUUCCCAUUGGAAAGAUCCCCUGCCUUCGAAAACGCCACCUUUUCGCUUCUUGUGGAGCCCAGCCCAUGGCCUCCCCACCCAGCGAUAAGGAUGGGCGGCAUUGAGGAGUCCACCCUGUCAGAUCCAGAGUCCAGCAAGCUGGCGCAGAGGCUGAACAACAAGCCCGGCAGAGAGGAGAAGAGGGCCGGCCUGGCGCAGCGCAGGGGCCGGCAGAGGGGGGGCACCCGGCCGGUGUGCAGGGGCUGCUACUCUGGGCUGAUGAUUGUAGCCCCUCCAGGCCCAGAAGGCAACCACAGCAGCACCCAGGAGAGCCACUCGGAGUCUGCCUGGGAGUCCAGCGAAGAAGACUGACCUGUGCCUCCCGCCCCAUGGCCGGGCCAUCCUCCUCCUCCUCCCCUGAGACCCAAGUCCCUGACCGACACGGAGUGCUUGCUCUGGGUGCCGUCAGGUGUGGCACAGAGGUUUCCAAAUCAAUAAAAACACGACACUGUCUGUCUGUCCGUCCGUC